rnacentral:rRNA from 1 species
CUACGGGAUGCACCAGUGAGGAAUAUUGCACAAUGGGGGAACCCUGAUGCAGCAACGCCGCGUGGAGGAUGACGCAUUUCGGUGUGUAAACUCCUUUUAUAUGUCAAGAAAAUGACGGUAGCAUAUGAAUAAGCACCGGCUAACUCCGUGCCAGCAGCCGCGGUAAUACGGAGGGUGCAAGCGUUACUCGGAAUCACUGGGCGUAAAGGACGCGUAGGCGGGCUUGUAAGUCAGGUGUGAAAUCCUACAGCUUAACUGUAGAACUGCACUUGAAACUACGAGCCUAGAGUAUGGGAGGGGGAGAUGGAAUUAGUGGUGUAGGGGUAAAAUCCGUAGAUAUCACUAGGAAUACCUAAAGCGAAGGCGAUCUCCUGGAACAUAACUGACGCUAAGGCGUGAAAGCGUGGGGAGCAAACAGGAUUAGAUACCCCCGUAGUC